AUAGUUGGAAAAUACGCAACUCCUACGUGCACAAACGCACGCAGCGCCGCCCCUGCAUUGCCCCGGCCGUGCGCACACGGCACAGCCAUCCCUAGUUCCCUGCUGGCAAAACCCUAGUCCGCCAGGGCAGAGGGCAGCGACCUUCUAGAACCUUCUCCAAUGGCGCUACUCCGAGCGCUUCCGGCGGCGGUUCUCCCCCGUCGCGCCCCGCACCCACUUCCUCACCCCCCCCGGCUCACCUUCGGUUCCUGGACCCGAUCGGGCUCCGCCCCUUCUUCUCCUCCUCCGCCGCCGCCACCGACUCGCAGGCACCGUCCAUGGGGGCCACCCUCUUCGGCGGGCUCACGGAGUCCCGGUUCGCGAAGCGCCGGCCGGGCUUCGCCGACCGCCGGAAGAGGGCCAGCUUGCGCGCCGAAGGUGCGGAGGGGGAGGGUUUCUCCAGCCUCUCGUUUCUAGCCAUCCCUUGGCCCCAGGCGCGGCGUCGCCGGGCGUGAGCUCGCGAGAAGGACGCCGAGAAGCAACUCCGGCCCACCCUACCGGGUGAAGUGCGAGCCUGACGAGCCCGUACCAGCUAGCCAGCCAAACCAAGGGAGCGUGCGAGUGCGAGGGAGGAAGGACAGGAAGCGGAUCAAGCAGCGGGACGACUUCAUCACGGCUGAGAAGGAGAAGCGCAGAGCACAGUAUUCUGCCGCUGUUAAGAGAAAGGAGGCAGAACGGACAGAAAGGGAGAUGGCUGCUGUGGCAAGAGAUCGGGCAUGGGCAGAAAGGUUGGUAGAGCUAAAACAGCUUGAGGAAGAAAAGAACACUGCAAUGGCAUAAAAGGGCAUGCUCUGGAAAAUGUCAAGGCAUCUAACUUGUUUUUGCUUCUCUAUUCUUUCCCCAUUUUUUCCACAUAGUAUAGAAUGUCACAGUUGUAAUGGAAGACUAGUUGUACCACUUCUUUCAACCGUAUAUCAAAUGCUGGACGUGGUGUUAAUACGAUUUUUCAUUAGUCCAUGUAUGGAGUUUGUUUAUUUUGAUGUAUUUAGAAUAAGUGAUGUGAUGGUUUUUGUGUGCUGGAGACCUGAGAUGACUGUCGUUUGCAACAUAUAGUUUUGGUA